AAUUUAGCAAAAAAAAUUACAAAAAAUACAAUGCUUAACGAAUACCCAUCCCUACCUCAUCACCACUGGCAGGAGGAGUACCCUCACCCUCCCUCACAUCCACACCCUCCUCCCUAACCUCUUCCUCGUCCCCAAUCUCUACAAAAUCAGUCUGACCUGAAACUAUUUCCUUGAUCCAUUCGAGGUCAACACCUAGCUGGUGCUUAGAAAGCUUUGACAUAAUAAUUAUCUAUAAAGUGAUGUAUAAAUCUACCAAUCUUUCAUCAGAAGACUUGGUCUCAGCUUCUAUCUCCUGGAUCCAGGCAUUAACUCAAUCCAUUUUAGCUUGAUGGUGGUUUUUGGUAUAUGAUAGCUCUGUGGUAAAUAAGGCCACCUUCCUUUCAGAAACUUCCACAUCAGACAUUAGCUACUUGAUUUAGUCAUCUCUCUUCUCCAGUGCAAACUCCAAGGCACUAUAGUUAGUCUGAAGCUCCCUGUAGUUAUCGCGCAGUCCUUGGAGGUGCUCUUGUAUAAGGUUAUUGAUAAUCACUACCUCCAAGCUCAGACUCAUAGACCAAAGAAUCAAGUUACAGUUGCUCUCAGGCUCAAGUCAAGCUCUAUCCUCAAGAAGAGUCAGCUUCUUCCCCAGCAACUCUCCUAGUGGUAGAUUCUCGG
rnacentral:misc_RNA from 1 species